rnacentral:rRNA from 1 species
AUUGAACGCUGGCGGCAGGCCUAACACAUGCAAGUCGAGCGAGCGGCGGACGGGUGAGUAAUGUAUGGGGACUGCCCGAUAGAGGGGAACAACAGCUGGAAACGGCUGCUAAUACCCCGUACCCGAGGAGGGCUCGCGUCUGAUUAGCUAGUUGGUGAGGCAAUAGCUUACCAAGGCGCUGAUCAGUAGCUGGUCCGAGAGGAUGAUCAGCCACACUGGGACUGAGACACGGCCCAGACUCCUACGGAGGCAGCAGUGGGGAAUAUUGCACAAUGGGCGCAAGCCUGAUGCAGCCAUGCCGCGUGUAUGAAGAAGGCCCUAGGGUUGUAAAGUACUUUCAGUCGGGAGGCGUUACCGACAGAAGAAGCACCGGCUAACUCCGUGCCAGCAGCCGCGGUAAUUC